rnacentral:rRNA from 1 species
CCUACGGGAGGCAGCAGUGAGGAAUAUUGGUCAAUGGACGGAAGCCUGAACCAGCCACGCCGCGUGCAGGAUGACGGCCCUACGGGUUGUAAACUGCUUUUGUACGGGGGUAACCGCACAUACGUGUAUGGCUUUGCAAGUACCGUACGAAUAAGGACCGGCUAAUUCCGUGCCAGCAGCCGCGGUAAUACGGAGGAUCCGAGCGUUAUCCGGAUUUAUUGGGUUUAAAGGGAGCGUAGGCGGUAGGUCAAGUUUGCUGGGAAAUCUCCGGGCUCAACUUGGGAAUUGCAGCGGGUACAGGCCGGCUUGAGUGCGCGGGAGGCAGGCGGAAUUCGUGGUGUAGCGGUGAAAUGCUUAGAGAUGACGAAGAACCCCGAUUGCGAAGGCAGCUUGCUGGACCGGUACUGACGUUGAGGCUCGAAAGCGUGGGGAUCGAACAGGAUUAGAUACCCUAGUAGUC